UACGAAGGGGGCUAGCGUUGCUCGGAAUCACUGGGCGUAAAGCGCACGUAGGCGGAUUGUUAAGUCAGGGGGUGAAAUCCUGGAGCUCAACUCCAGAACUGCCUUUGAUACUGGCGAUCUCGAGUCCGGGAGAGGUGAGUGGAACUGCGAGUGUAGAGGUGAAAUUCGUAGAUAUUCGCAAGAACACCAGUGGCGAAGGCGGCUCACUGGCCCGAUACUGACGCUGAGGCACGAAAGCGUGGGGAGCAAACAGG
rnacentral:rRNA from 1 species